rnacentral:tmRNA from 3 species
GGGGCUGAUUCUGGAUUCGACGGGAUUUGCGAAACCCAAGGUGCAUGCCGAGGGGCGGUUGGCCUCGUAAAAAGCCGCAAAAAAAUAGUCGCAAACGACGAAAACUACGCUUUAGCAGCUUAAUAACCUGCUUAGAGCCCUCUCUCCCUAGCCUCCGCUCUUAGGACGGGGAUCAAGAGAGGUCAAACCCAAAAGAGAUCGCGCGGAUGCCCUGCCUAGGGUUGAAGCGUUAAAACGAAUCAGGCUAGUCUGGUAGUGGCGUGUCCGUCCGCAGGUGCCAGGCGAAUGUAAAGACUGACUAAGCAUGUAGUACCGAGGAUGUAGGAAUUUCGGACGCGGGUUCAACUCCCGCCAGCUCCACCA